UACGUAGGGUGCAAGCGUUGUCCGGAAUUAUUGGGCGUAAAGAGCUCGUAGGCGGUUUGUCGCGUCUGCUGUGAAAACCCGAGGCUCAACCUCGGGCCUGCAGUGGGUACGGGCAGACUAGAGUGCGGUAGGGGAGAUUGGAAUUCCUGGUGUAGCGGUGGAAUGCGCAGAUAUCAGGAGGAACACCGAUGGCGAAGGCAGAUCUCUGGGACGGUACUGACGCUGAGACGCGAAAGCGUGGGGAGCGAACAGG
rnacentral:rRNA from 1 species